AAAAACGUCUAUGAAAAUAAAAACAACGAUCUGUCAAAACAACUGUCAGUCGUAAUUUUGCACUCUCGUCGGACGGCAAAAACUUUUUCAUGCAAUUUGGGUACAUCCACUGCCCGUAAAUCAAACCUUCUACCGAGUAAAGUUGCCGCUUCCAGGGCGCCAGUGGUGCGAGUAAC